rnacentral:rRNA from 1 species
AUUGAACGCUGGCGGCAUGCCUAACACAUGCAAGUCGAACGGCAGCACGGGGGGUAACCCCUGGUGGCGAUUGGCGAACGGGGGAGUAAAACAUCGGAACGUGUCCUGUAUCGGGGGAUAACCUAUCGAAAGAUGGACUAAUACCGCAUACGACCUUCGUGUAAAAGCGGAGGCCCGCAAGGCUUCGGGCCUUGCUAGCGGCCGUAGACGGAUUAGCUAGUUGGCGGGGUAACGGCCCACCAAGGCGACGAUACGUAGCCGGUCUGAGAGGACGAUCAGCCACACUGGAACUGAGACACGGUCCAGACUCCUACGGGAGGCAGCAGUGGGGAAUUUUGGGCAAUGGGCGAAAGCCUGAUCCAGCCAUGCCGCGUGAGUGAAGAAGGCCUUCGGGUUGUAAAGCUCUUUCGGCGGGGAAGAAACGGUUCGUGCUAAUACCACGGACUACUGACGGUACCCGAAGAAGAAGCACCGGCUAACUACGUG